rnacentral:rRNA from 1 species
AGUGAACGCUGGCGGUAGGCCUAACACAUGCAAGUCGAACGGCAGCACAGUAAGAGCUUGCUCUUACGGGUGGCGAGUGGCGGACGGGUGAGGAAUACAUCGGAAUCUACUUUUUCGUGGGUGAUAACGUAGGGAAACUUACGCUAAUACCGCAUACGACCUACGGGUGAAAGCAGGGGAUCUUCGGACCUUGCGCGAUUGAAUGAGCCGAUGUCGGAUUAGCUAGUUGGCGGGGUAAAGGCCCACCAAGGCGACGAUCCGUAGCUGGUCUGAGAGGAUGAUCAGCCACACUGGAACUGAGACACGGUCCAGACUCCUACGGGAGGCAGCAGUGGGGAAUAUUGGACAAUGGGCGCAAGCCUGAUCCAGCCAUACCGCGUGGGUGAAGAAGGCCUUCGGGUUGUAAAGCCCUGUUGUUGGGAAAGAAAAGCAGCAGGUUAAUACCCCGCUGUUCUGACGGUACCCAAAGAAUAAGCACCGGCUAACUUCGUG